rnacentral:sRNA from 1 species
GCGGAAAGGAAGUUCCAGGGCCCGCGCUGGGAAAGAGGCGGGGGGACCAGGGGAAGACUCAGAGUGCGAUGGCGGCGCAAAUUCCAAUUGUGGCCACCACUUCCACUCCUGGAAUAGUCCGGAACAGCAAGAAGAGGCCGGCCAGCCCUUCCCACAAUGGCAGCAGCGGCGGGGGCUAUGGCGCCAGUAAGAAGAAAAAGGUGUCCGCUUCCAGCUUUGCGCAGGUACGCACUCGCGCUCCCAGCCUGCGUGUGCGCGUCGGGGAACGUGACUUGGCGGGGCGGAGCUGAGCCAGGGCGCGUGCGCAAUGUGGGGCGCUGCGCGUGCGGUCUCCGAUGGGGUUGAAAGACGCUGUCCCGUGGAGUAAAUGACUACUCUUUCCCUUCGUUUGGACACAUGGGCUUACAACGCCUUGUGUUGUAAGGAGAGAAGAA